rnacentral:RNase_P_RNA from 1 species
AUGUGAGGCCGAGGGGUCGCUGGAAAUCCGGGGACACAUUACUUAAUUCUCUGGAAUUAAGUAAUGUGUCCCCGGAUUUCGGGAGGAAAGUCCGGGCUCCGCAGGACACCGUGGUGGGUAACGCCCACCUCCCGCACUUUCGAAAGAAAAUGCGGGAAGGACUAGUGCUACGUCUCUGCCUUUUGGCGGAGCGGGUAAACUCCACGGGGAGCAAGGCCAAGUAAAUCCCCCCUGCCGGUCCGGCAAUAUGGGGAUGGGUAGGCCGCUAGAACCUUGCGGCAACGCAAGGUCCAGAGAAAUGGCCCUUUCAAAACAGAACCCGGCUUACGAGCCUCACAUUUUC